rnacentral:lncRNA from 1 species
UGUUAUGGACCGUUCGAAGUAACCUAUUUUAUAGUGUUGCUCACGGUUCCCGCACCAUUCCUUGGAAGGCUAUGUUAUUAUUGUUGAGGCCCAAUUAUUUGAGUCGAGCCUUGAUCCACCACUUAGCCCUAAUUGUAACUUACCUUUUUUGGACAAUACUCUUGGCAUAUAUUCCCCUCAACCUCUCGGCCUCCAUUAGAGUGAAAAACCCCCCUCUUUGUGAGCUUCUCUCUCUCGGCCUCUUCUUCCC